GUCUAUGGCCAUACCACCCUGAAUGUGCCCAAUCUCUUCUGAUCUUGGAAGCUAAGUAAGGUUGGGUCUGGUUAGUACUUGGAUAGGAAGAAAAAGCAAUGAACAGCUAUGAUCA
rnacentral:rRNA from 1 species